rnacentral:rRNA from 1 species
GCGUGCUUAACACAUGCAAGUCGAACGGUAAGGCUCCAGCUUGCUGGGGUACACGAGUGGCGAACGGGUGAGUAACACGUGGGUGACCUGCCCUGCACUUCGGGAUAAGCCUGGGAAACUGGGUCUAAUACCGGAUAGGACCGCACCGUGAGGGUGUGGUGGAAAGUUUUUUCGGUGUGGGAUGGGCCCGCGGCCUAUCAGCUUGUUGGUGGGGUAAUGGCCUACCAAGGCGGCGACGGGUAGCCGGCCUGAGAGGGUGGACGGCCACAUUGGGACUGAGACACGGCCCAGACUCCUACGGGAGGCAGCAGUGGGGAAUAUUGCACAAUGGGCGGAAGCCUGAUGCAGCGACGCCGCGUGGGGGAUGACGGCCUUCGGGUUGUAAACUCCUUUCACCAUCGACGAAGGGUUUCUGACGGUAGAUGGAGAAGAAGCACCGGCUAACUACGUGCCAGCAGCCGCGGUAAUACGUAGGGUGCGAGCGUUGUCCGGAAUUACUGGGCGUAAAGAGCUCGUAGGUGGUUUGUCGCGUCGUCUGUGAAAUUCCGGGGCUUAACUCCGGGCGUGCAGGCGAUACGGGCAUAACUUGAGUACUGUAGGGGAGACUGGAAUUCCUGGUGUAGCGGUGAAAUGCGCAGAUAUCAGGAGGAACACCGGUGGCGAAGGCGGGUCUCUGGGCAGUAACUGACGCUGAGGAG